AAAUUUUUGAGUUAAAGAAAAAUUGUCAAAUUUAUCAGCUUUAUUUUGGACAAAAGUAUAAACUAAAUGGAAAAAAGUUAAUCAUCUGCACCUAAUAUAUUCACCAUUUACUCAAUCAUCCAGGCUUUAUGAUUUCGUUUGGAAGUUGGCUUAAUAAUGGUAAAAUCUAAAACUACAUCAUAUACCCAUUUUGGAGUCACCUGAAUUGAAUGAGUCUCUCCAUGUGUGUUUUGUACUUUACUUGCUUGCUUUUUAGGUACUGAUUUCUUAAUUUUCAAAGCAUUUGGGUCUGAUUCAUCACAAAUUAUUAUAUAGUCCGCUAAUAAUGGAUCUUGUACAAACGAAGCAUUUCCUAAGGUAGCUAAACGAGUACAUAAUUUGAAAUGAUUAUUUCCUGGUGGUCCAACAAUAAAUAGUUUUGUUUUACAAAAUAUCCCUUCGCUAAUGUAGAGUCUAGAUUCUAAAGAAGGAAGUCCUUUGACAAGUUCGAAUUUGGUUUCAAAUGAAUUAUCAGGCCAAGUAUUCUUCUUUGUUAAAUAAUCAAUCAUUCCUUCUGAGACAAUCAUUACAUUGCUUACAAUAGAUAAAAGUAGUUUUGGAUGGUAAACGUUCAUUAUGAAAUCUUUUGAUAAUACUAGAAAUGAAAUAGAUUCCCAGUCUUUGUAAUGCCUAGGCCAAAGCACAAAUUCAAUCUUAUCAAUAUGUUUAGGAGUCUUCAUAUUUCUAAUCAUAUUUGAUAUUUUUACCUCAAGUCUUCUAUUAUCAUGGUCAUCUUUCCCAAGACAGCUUAGAAUUAAAGCUUGUUCGUUUCUUCCUAAAUCAAUGUUUUCUUCAUCAUCAUCUUCAUCAUAUCUAAUCCUUUGGCUACUUCUUAU
rnacentral:antisense_RNA from 1 species